rnacentral:rRNA from 1 species
UAAGCCCUCCCUAAUUCCGUGCCAGCCCCCGCGGAAAUACGGGAGUGGCAAGCGUUAUCCGGAAUUAUUGGGCGUAAAGCGUCCGCAGGCGCCCUUGAAAGUCUGUCGUUAAAGCGUGGAGCUUAACUCCAUUUCGGCGGUGGAAACUACAAGGCUUGAGUGUGGUAGG